GCCCUGGGUCGCUUCUCACCCUGAAGGAAGAAAGCGUCCUUGAAAUGCCUAAAGAGAAAAUCCUCAAAAAUGUUCCUUGUCGUUGUCCUUUUUUUUUUUUUUCCCCCUCUGAGGACAACGCUUUCCUCUAAAGACAGGCUAACAGCCUUUGGUGAAAACCCCAAGUACGUAACUUUGGUCCCUGGGGCUGCUUAGUCCUAAUAUGAUUACACAUCUAAAUGCAAUAAACGGGGCAAAGUGGUAUGAUUUUUCUGGGAAAAACCAACAUCAUAAAAGGGUCUUUAUUGAAUCAAGGGCCCGUGAACUGUUCUCUUCCCUAAUUACGGCUCCCAAGUGAACCGCGCUGGGUUUCCAGGCAGGACUCCUCACAGCUCCCAAGCCCAAAGGGCGAUGGGCUAUUUGUCACGACUUGUCUAAUUACAACGAAAGCCACCCAAAGGACCAAAGGAGGAUGCCAAGGAUGGCCGCGGCCCCCUCCCCCACUCGGGCUCUGGAAACAGGGGGAGCUGGAUCUCAGGCCUACUUCUAUUUUAAGGAGUCCCCCCCCCCAUCCCCACCCCUUACCUACAGAGUCAGGAUCCUGGGCCCCGCCCCUUUCCGCCGUCAAUGCUUAAGAGGGAUCCCGACACUGCCCGUCUCUAUCCCCAGCUCUACAGAAAAGGCCCAUUGUCCAACUGCCCUAUUUUGCCAGAUGUUUUUAACAUUCAGCGAUUGGGCCAAGGUUAGCAUGCACCCAGACCUGAGCGACAAUAAAUGUCUGCCAUCACCAGACGCGGGAGGGGGAGAGGGACAGAGACUCAGGCCAGGGAAGGGAAAACCCUCCACACUAACCAGCUAGGGGCGAGUGGUCUGGCCAGGCAAACUGGAGACCAGUAUUUUGCUUAUAUACAAGUCCUGGUUCCAAGUAUCUGUUUAACCGUCUUCUUAGUUCUAAGAGCAGAGACACUUUUUUUGGGGGGGGUGUAGCGUCUGCAGCAGAGAGAAGUUUCCGAGCCAGGGAUUGAACCUGCGCCACAGCAGUAACAAUGCUAGAUCCUUACCUAGGCCACCAGGGAACUCCUUAAGACACAUUUGUGAUCAAACGAACACCCCCCCUCCCCGCCACCAAAGU
rnacentral:lncRNA from 1 species